CCUGCCCGCCCGGGAGCUGCGGCCCGUCCCACCUCUCCUCGGCGCCGGUUGAAGGAAGAACGAAGAUUUCGGGAGCGCUUUUUGCGCGCCGGGACUGACCUCCCCACUUGGGUGAGUGUCGUGGAGGCAGAGAUAGGGACCGUGCCCGUGCUGCUCGGCUGACACGCAUUUCGGAGCAACACAUUCCAGCAGAUGAACCCAUUUGCACACAUUUUCAAACGCACUGGAGAUGAUUUUCUCUUCCACUGCUCCUGAUGUCAAGCUGGGAGUCAUGGACCGCUCCACGUGUGGUGAAGGACGUCCCCGAUCUGUGGCACUCUGGCAACUUGGUGAAGACCCGAAAGAAAAAGAGCCUGGCUGUAGAACUGGACCCUUAAACCCAACGAAUUUCUU